rnacentral:rRNA from 1 species
UACGUAGGUGGCAAGCGUUGUCCGGAAUUAUUGGGCGUAAAGCGGGUGUAGGUGGCUUGGUAAGUCAGGUGUGAAAGCCCAGGGCUUAACCCUGGAAGUGCAUUUGAAACUGCCGAGCUUGAGUGUGGGAGAGGAUAGUGGAAUUCCUGGUGUAGUGGUGAAAUACGUAGAUAUCGAGAGGAACACCGGUGGCGAAGGCGACAUCCUGGACCGGUAUUGACGCUGAGGCGCGAAAGCCAGGGGAGCAAACGGG